UUUGACCUCAAAUCAGGUAGGACUACCCGCUGAACUUAAGCAUAUCAAUAAGCGGAGGAAAAGAAACUAACAAGGAUUCCCUUAGUAACGGCGAGUGAAGAGGGAAAAGCUCAAAUUUGAAAUCUGGCGGUCUACGGCCGUCCGAGUUGUAAUCUAGAGAAGUGUUUUCCGUGCUGGACCGUGUACAAGUCCUUUGGAACAAGGCGUCAUAGAGGGUGAGAAUCCCGUCUACGACACGGACUACCAGUGCUUUGUGAUACACUCUCAACGAGUCGAGUUGUUUGGGAAUGCAGCUCAAAAUGGGUGGUAAAUUCCAUCUAAAGCUAAAUAUAGGCGAAAGACCGAUAGCGAACAAGUACCGUGAGGGAAAGAUGAAAAGCACUUUGGAAAGAGAGUUAAACAGUACGUGAAAUUGUUGAAAGGGAAACGCUUGAAGUCAGUCGCGUCUUUCGGGAAUUCAAUCAGGCUUUUGCCUGGUGUACUUUCCUGUUGGACGGGCCAGCAUCAGUUUUGGCCGCCAGAAAAAGGUGAGGGGAAGGUGGCACCUCCGGGUGUGUUAUAGCCUCUCAUCGUAUGUGGCGGCUGGGACUGAGGACCGCAGCAUGCCUUUAUGGCCGGGGUUCGCCCACGUAACAUGCUUAGGAUGCUGGCGUAAUGGCUUUAAGCGACCCGUCUUGAAACACGGACCAAGGAGUCUAACAUGCCUGCGAGUAUUUGGGUGGUAAACCCAUAUGCGGAAUGAAAGUGAACAGUUGGGACUUCCGUCAUGGAAGGCACCGACGCCCGGMCCAGACCUAUUGUGACGGAUCCGAGGUAGAGCAUGUAUGUUGGGACCCGAAAGAUGGUGAACUAUGCCUGAGUAGGGUGAAGCCAGAGGAAACUC
rnacentral:rRNA from 1 species